GACGAACGCUGGCGGCGUGCUUAACACAUGCAAGUCGAACGGACAGGCCCUGCUUUUGUUGGUUUCUUGAUUGGCGAACGGGUGAGUAACACGUGAGUAACCUGCCCUUGACUUUGGGAUAACUUCAGGAAACUGGGGCUCUUACCGCAUAUGAGCUUCUGCUGCAUGUUGUGGGUUGGAAAGUUUCGGCGGUUGGGGAUGGUCUCGCGGCUUAUCAGCUUGUUGUUGGGGUAGUUGCUUACCAAGGCUUUGACGGGUAGCCGGCCUGAGAGGGUUAACGGCGACAAUGGGACUGAGAUACGGCCCAGACGCCUACGGGAGGCAGCAGUGGGGAAUAUUGCACAAUGGGCGGAAGCAUGAUGCAGAAACGCCGCGUGCGGGAUGACGGCCUUCGGGUUGUAAACAGCUUUCGAAUGUGACGAAGAGUGAGUGACGGUAAUGGGUAAAGAAGCACCGGCUAACUACGUG
rnacentral:rRNA from 1 species